AUGAACGCUGGCGGCGUGCCUAAUACAUGCAAGUCGAGCGAACAGAUAAGGAGCUUGCUCCUUUGACGUUAGCGACGGACGGGUGAGUAACACGUGGAUAACCUACCUAUAAGACUGGGAUAACUUCGGGAAACCGGAGCUAAUACCGGAUAACAUAUUGAACCGCAUGGUUCAAUAGUGAAAGGCGGCUUUGCUGUCACUUAUAAAUGGAUCCGCGCCGUAUUAGCUAGUUGGUAAGGUAACGGCUUACCAAGGCAACGAUACGUAGCCGACCUGAGAGGGUGAUCGGCCACACUGGAACUGAGACACGGUCCAGACUCCUACGGGAGGCAGCAGUAGGGAAUCUUCCGCAAUGGGCGAAAGCCUGACGGAGCAACGCCGCGUGAGUGAUGAAGGUCUUCGGAUCGUAAAACUCUGUUAUCAGGGAAGAACAAAUGUGUAAGUAACUGUGCACAUCUUGACGGUACCUGAUCAGAAAGCCACGGCUAACUACGUG
rnacentral:rRNA from 1 species